rnacentral:rRNA from 1 species
UUGAUUACGUCCCUGCCCUUUGUACACACCGCCCGUCGCUGCCCGGAACUGAGCAAUGUCGAGAAGACUGGGGACUGUUUCUUUCGGGAAAUGGAAACCAGUUUAAUCGCUAUUGUUUGAACCGGGCAAAAGUCGUAACAAGGUUUUCGUAGGUGAACCUGCGAAAGGAUCAUUAUG